UGGGGAAUAUUGGACAAUGGGCGCAAGCCUGAUCCAGCCAUGCCGCGUGAGUGACGAAGGCCUUAGGGUUGUAAAGCUCUUUUGGCGGGGACGAUAAUGACGGUACCCGCAGAAUAAGCUCCGGCUAACUUCGUGCCAGCAGCCGCGGUAAUACGAAGGGAGCUAGCGUUGUUCGGAAUCACUGGGCGUAAAGCGCACGUAGGCGGAUUAUUAAGUCAGGGGUGAAAUCCCGGGGCUCAACCUCGGAACUGCCUCUGAUACUGAUAGUCUCGAGUCCGGAAGAGGUGGGUGGAAUUCCUAGUGUAGAGGUGAAAUUCGUAGAUAUUAGGAAGAACACCGGUGGCGAAGGCGGCCCACUGGUCCGGUACUGACGCUGAGGUGCGAAAGCGUGGGGAGCAAACAGGAUUAGAUACCCCGGUAGUCCCUGAGCGGGCUGGCAAGGCGCAU
rnacentral:rRNA from 1 species